rnacentral:tRNA from 1 species
GGUGGCCCAAUGGUAGAGUGCUUGCCUUGCAUGCAUGAGGCCUUGGGUUCGAUUCCUCAGCACCA